rnacentral:rRNA from 1 species
AGAGUUUGAUCAUGGCUCAGGAUGAACGCUGGCGGCGUGCCUAACACAUGCAAGUCGCACGGAGGGAGCAAUCCUUCAGUGGCGCACGGGUGAGGAACACGUAGCUGACCUGCCCCGAAGAGCGGGAUAACGGUUCGAAAGGACUGCUAAUACCGCAUAAGCUCACACUGACUAAAUAGGUGUGAGAAAAGGCGCAAGCCGUUUCGGGAGGGGGCUGCGACCCAUCAGGUAGUUGGUAAGGUAACGGCUUACCAAGCCGACGACGGGUAACGGGUCUGAGAGGAUGAUCCGUCACACUGGGACUGAGACACGGCCCAGACUCCUACGGGAGGCAGCAGUGAGGAAUAUUGCACAAUGGGCGCAAGCCUGAUGCAGCGACGCCGCGUGGGUGAUGAAGACUUUCGGGUCGUAAAACCCUUUUCUGCGUGACGAGCAAGGACGGUAGCGCAGGAAUAAGCCUCGGCUAACUACGUGCCAGCAGCCGCGGUAAAACGUAGGAGGCGAGCGUUAUCCGGAGUUACUGGGCGUAAAGCGCGUGUAGGUGUUGGAUACGUCUGCUGUGAAAUGUCCCGGCUUAACCGGGAGGGUGCGGCAGAUACGGUCUGACUCGAGGGCGACAGAGGAGCGUAGAAUUCCGGGUGUAGUGGUGAAAUGCGUAGAGAUCCGGAGGAAUACCAGUGGCGCAAGCGGCGCUCUGGGUCGCAACUGACACUGAGACGCGAAGGCAUGGGGAGCGAACGGGAUUAGAAACCCCGGUAGUCCAUGCAGUAAACGAU